rnacentral:lncRNA from 1 species
GGCAGCGGCUACAGCCAGAGGACCACUGAGAUAGCGAGGGUUCCGCAGGCCCCUGGUGCCAACGGAAUAAGCGGACUUCAGGGGUAGGGUCUGCGGCUCUCCUCUGGUCUGACUCCUGCGCUAGAGACGGCUCGGUAACUCCAGAACCUCGAGUGCGAAGCGUAUUGAGGUGCCUGCCCCAGAUGAGAAAAAAGGCUGAGAUAAGUCAACUGACUUGAGUAGGGUUGUACAACUACACAUUUCAUAAAUUGAAGAAUUGGGUUUCAAAUGUGAUGGUUCUGAUGACAUCAUUGGUGAAAAUAGACUGUUAUAGAAGAGCUGAAAUGAGGAAUCCAAAAUGGCUAAACAAGAGGUUAUGGCUGAGCUCAUCUCCUCAACUUCACCUCAAAAUGGAAAUAACUGUGCCUUAGUAAAAGAGAACAACCUAAAAAGGCAAAAAAAAUCAUCUUAAAAAAUAAAAUGUAACAAAAAAGUGAGUAAUGAAAAAAUGCCCCAAUACAGUGAAAAUUUCCAGAAAAAACAAUAGAUGCACAGAAGCCAAAAUGAAGCUACUUGAAGAAUAUUUAAGGUAGUUAAUAAAGUCAAUAAAAGUGAUGACAAGAUAUGUGGUAUCUACAAAAUUAGAUAUAAAAUCAGUAAAGAAAAAAAGACAAGCAUAAUAUUUGACUAUUUGAAACAAUUGGUGGAAAAAUAUUUGUUAAUGGUUGAUUCUUGGAGGAAUAGAAUGGCUCAAAUGUAAGCCCAAAAGUUGGGGAGGUGAUAGAACCAAUUAAUAGCAAACCAGUUUAAUUUUUUAAAGUUUUAUUCAUGUGUUCUGUUUUGUCCCCAUUAUAAACAUUUACAGAUUAG